rfam:Gossypium arboreum cultivar AKA8401 contig_895_5, whole genome shotgun sequence.
UGUUAAAAGUUUCAUUCAUUUUUACUAUAAAAAAUUGUCAUGGUUGGCAAAAUAACCAGAUAGUUACACGUGGUGUGCCACAUGUACCUCAUUCUGACGUACAAGGAUCGGUUUUUAACAAUAGAAAUGGAUGAAAUUUUUAACA